rnacentral:lncRNA from 1 species
CCGGUUCCGGCGGCGCCGGUACUGGCAGGAGCACCUGAUUCGCUGGCGUGGGGAGCGGCAGCCGCGCCGACGCCUCCACGGCGGAGCGGCAAAGGGGACAGGUGGCGUGGGAGUGGAACCACAUGUCGAUGCACUCGAUGUGGAAGCGGUGGCCGCACCUCGGGAGGGCCCGCAUCUUCUCCCCCUCCUCGAACUCAUUCAGGCACACCGGGCACUCCACCACGUCGUCGUCCCCCUCCUCGCCGCCCGCUGCGGCGGCGAAAACGAAAACUGGGAGGGAUUUGAGGACAGUGGGGUUGAGACCGCGGUGGUCGGCGGAGGAAGAGGAGGGAAGGGUGCCGUCGACGAAGAAGAUCAGGCGUCGCCUGAGGCGGCGAUGGCGACGUCGGAGGAGGAAAAAUCGCGAGCGGAAGUAGAGGUGGAGGAACAGUAGGAGCAGGACGGCAGCGAAGAGGACGACGGUAGAUGUGAGCAUAACCUUGCCGCUUAGGGCGUAGCCGCGAGGACCCGGGUUCAGAUCACCAUCGGGUUUCGCAUCCAUUACGCUGCUUCACCGCCCGUCCCGACGAAAUGGAGGUGCGUCUAACAAACCCACCGCUUAUGCCGUUUCUUAUAACGCAACGCGUAACUUAUACUAGCACGUAUGGUGUGGGCGGAUAUGUGGGCGAAAAUAACCCUCAUUGCGAGCGGGUUAAGCCGAGGCAAUAGGGGUGAUUUGGGUCGAGCAAAUAAGGUCACGCGGUUAGAUGGGGUAUACGGAAUCCAACCGAGACUUGGGUUGGUGUUUCGUGUGAAGCUUCGUGGGCGGGUGGAGUGUCUACUGCAGGCGGCCAUUUGACUCGGUGAAGAAACUUCCACGAAGAGAGUGUCUAUCCAGAUCCAAACCCGCGUGAUUUAGGUGAUCUUAUCUGGGGAUGAUAAUGGGUCCAAUAAUUCAAAAUCGAUCCACGACUUGAUCCAGAAUUUUAGGUGUGGAUCUUAAUUAUAGAUUCAUUAAGGUUAUCGGAUUGCAUGAGGAUCCUAAAUCCACAAACAAUAAUACUUAUCAAUCAAAUUGUAGCAAAGCCAUCUGUUGGCUACUCAGAUUCUCAAUUUCGCGUUGAGAUCUGGAUUAUAGAUGGAUCCGAUCAAUACCAUCUCUAUUGUGAACUUUUGCUGACAAUCAAUCUCAUGCUAUUUGCUAUGGGAAUGAUUUAAAUGAAUAAGCUUGCAUAAGAUCUGUUUAUAUGUGGGCUCUAAGAUAGCAAGAUCCAGGAAGAACUGACCGUAGCAUUUAGUCCCACAUCGAAGAGCCUUCUUAGCGGGCAGGCGGAAGCUGUUAUUAUAUAGAAGAGCCCUGCCUCACGAUAAUCUUCAAUCCGUCUUGUCAGGGGAUGAAAGGCGACUGGCUAAUGAUCGUAUAGAGACGGUCGGUCGUGCCGACACCCAUGAAAGCGAACACAUUCUCUAUCGGCGAGUGAGGCUUCUCCCACCCUACUCUCGGUGGGGCUUCGUUCGCCAAUUUUUGGAAGGGCCCCUCUCUAAAGGGGCCCCUCACCAGUUCAAGAAUACCAACCGUUUCCAAACUCUUUGUAAACUAAUUAAAUGUUUCUUUCGUCUAAUCAGUUUGGUAUGAAGCAUCAAUAAUAUUCUUUAAUAUUUAAACUUAUAAACAAACCAUUUACAGCAUGAGAUCCAAAGUUCAAUUAAAUUCUGAUUUGGUUGUAUUUAAACUGGUUCGGGUCGGACUUGGAACGAUAGCAGUAGCCGGGUAUGGGUUUUAAUGCUCCGAUACCCAUUACCCGUACGAUGGUGGCACAUUAGUCUUUUUCGCUAGGGUGGAUUUAAGACACCCUCUGCUUCCUCUUCUCCAGCGUUUCGCCGCCGCCUCUUCCCUCUGUCCCAGUUGCUUACGCCUUCUUCUCCCGUCGCCUGCAACGCCCUCUCCUCCUCUUCUUCUAUUAUCUGCUGCCUCCUUUCUCCACAUUCGAGCGGGCCGGUCUUGCCGUCGUCGUCCCCUGCGAUUCCAUGGUGGUGCCCAGCUGCCCUACUUGACCGCUUUCCCCUUCUCUGCUACAAUAUCUAUUUUCCGGCUUAACAUCAAACUUUCCUGCCGAUUUCUUAGUCUGCUGAUUUGUUGAGGAAAUAUAACUAGGUUUAAAAAUACGAUACUAUCGUGUAGCAUUGAAGUAAUUGAAUUAUAUGGUUUAGCAAGGGAGAGGUUGAGUUUGAGCCAACCUACUUUUAUUGAUUCAACCAUAGUAACAAAUGUUUAGUGAGUUAAACUUUGAUUUCCCUUAAAAUUUCGAGUUUCAACCAAUCUAGUGUUGACAUGAUCAAACCCAUUCCAAACACUUUACAUCAUUAUUUUCUGCGAUUAUUAAGCAGAACAGGUAGCCAGAGUUCAAACUUUCGAGUUAUUUUAAGCUGGUUUUGGCUGAUUAGUCCUUAAGCUCGAGUUCAACUGGAAGUCCCUGCGAGGGAGACGGCAUGGGAUCCCUGGAGAAGCCAUUCUCCUCGCAGCACAAUCUCCAGUUGAAUCUUGUGGCCACAUAAUGCAUCAUCACCAGUGUCUCCAUCCUUGCAAACUCAUUGCCGGGGCACAUCCUUGGCCCUCCACCAAAUGCCACAAAAGAGCAGGGAGGCACUGAUGACUGCUUCUCGAACCGCGUUGGAUCGAACUUAUUUGGAUCCUCAAAGAUAUGCUCGUCCAUCUGUGUGAUGCUUGAUGCCCAGAACACCUAAUCAUCACCCAGAAGUUGUAGCAGGAAAGGAAGAUGGAAAUGUGGAUCUUAUGUGAAGUAGUAGUAGCUCUCCUUACCAGCCACCCUUUCGGAAUGAGGUAACCUUCAUACUCGAUGUCUUUCAGCGCCCUUCUAAAGUUCCCAAAGAUCGGAGGAAUCAUUCUCAGAAUCUCCAUCGCUGCACACCAUGUGUGCUUCAUCUUGUUGAGAUCACUCCAUGUCAGGGCUUCUCCUGAGGCCUUCCCCUUUGCAAUCUCUUGUUGCUCUAUGAUCAUUGACACAAGGCAAAACCGGCAGGGGUCAUCAUAUAUACAUAGCAUGCAUCACAUCACGAUCGUUGAAGUUUAUUUGUUGCUUACCAUGGAUAACAAUCGUUCGGUUGACAGGAUCGUCGGCGAGGUGGCGGAUCAUGAAGGUGAUCAGAGCGGCAGAAGUAUCAUACCCGGCAAACAUGACGAGCAUUAGGUUGUCCAGAAUCUCC